rnacentral:rRNA from 1 species
GAUUAACUAUAAGAGGUCCAGCCUGCCCAGUGAUAAAUUUAACGGCCGCGGUACCCUGACCGUGCGAAGGUAGCAUAAUCACUUGUUCUUUAAAUAGGGACUUGUAUCAACGGCAUCACGAGGGUUAUACUGUCUCCUCUCUCCAAUCAGUGAAACUGAUCUCCCCGUGAAGAAGCGGGGAUAUUAACAUAAGACGAGAAGACCCCAUGGAGCUUUAAAUUUUAUAGCAAUUCAGUCAAAUAAUUCCCAAUAAUCUACAGAACUAUGCCUAUUAAUUUUAGGUUGGGGUGACCGCGGAGCAAAAAUUAACCUCCAUGACGAAAAGAACUAAAUCUUUAUCUAAGAGCCACAACUCUAAGAAUUAGUAUACUAACGACCAUGACCCGAUAAUCGAUCAACGGACCAAGUUACCCUGGGGAUAACAGCGCAAUCUACUUUGAGAGCCCAUAUCGACAAGUAGGCUUACGACCUCGAUGUUGGAUCAGGGUAUCCCAGUGGUGCAGCCGCUACUAAUGGUUCGUUUGUUCAACGAUUAAAACCCUACGUGAUCUGAGU